AAAGCUUUAGCUUAAUUAAAGCGUCUGGGUUGCAUUCAGAAGAUGUGGGUUAAUCUCCUGCAAGUUUUA
rnacentral:tRNA from 1 species